rnacentral:rRNA from 1 species
UACGUAGGGUGCGAGCGUUGUCCGGAAUUAUUGGGCGUAAAGGGCUCGUAGGCGGUUUGUCGCGUCGGGAGUGAAAAUCCAGGGCUUAACUCUGGACUGGCUUCCGAUACGGGCAGACUAGAGGUAUGCAGGGGAGAACGGAAUUCCUGGUGUAGCGGUGGAAUGCGUAGAGAUCCGGAAGAACACCGGUGGCGAAGGCGGCCUGCUGGGCAGUAGCUGACACUGAGGCGCGGACAGCGUGGGGAGCAAACAGG